ensembl:lncRNA
GGACUUGGGGAUUUCUAAGAGGGGACGUGGGGAUGUCUAAGAGGGGACGUGGGGAUGUCUAAGAGGGGACGUGGGGAUGUCUAAGAGGGGACGUGGGGAGGACGUGGGGAUGUCUAAGAGGGGACGUGGGGAGGACGUGGGGAUGUCUAAGAGGGGACGUGGGGAGGACGUGGGGAUUUCUAAGAGGGGACGUGGGGAUGUCUAAGAGGGGACGUGGGGAGGAUGUGGGGAUGUCUAAGAGGGGACGUGGGGAGGACGUUGGGAUGUCUAAGAGGGGACGUGGGGAUGUCUAAGAGGGGACGUGGGGAUGUCUAAGAGGGGACGUGGGGAGGACGUGGGGAUGUCUAAGAGGGGACGUGGGGAUGUCUAAGAGGGGAGGAGGGUAUGUCUAAGAGGGGACGUGGGGAGGACGUGGGGAUGCCUAAGAGGGGACGUGGGGAUGUCUAAGAGGGGACGUGGGGAGGACGUGGGGAUGGCUAAGAGGGGACGUGGGGAUGUCUAAGAGGGGACGUGGGGAGGACGUGGGGAUGUCUAAGACGGGACGUGGGGAUGUCUAAGAGGGGACGUGGGGAUGUCUAAGAGGGGACGCGGGGAUGUCUAAGAGGGGACGCGGGGAUGUCUAAGAGGGGACGUGGGGAGGAUGUGGGGAUGUCUAAGAGGGGACGUGGGGAUGUCUAAGAGGGGACGUGGGGAUGUCUAAGAGGGGACGUGGGGAUGUCUAAGAGGGUACGUGGGGAUGUCUAAAUGGUGACGCGGAGAUGUCUAAGAGGGGACGUGGGGAGGACGUGGGGAUGUCUAAGAGGGGACGUGGGGAGGACGUUUGGAUGUCUAAGAGGGGACGUGGGGAUGUCUAAGAGGGGACGUGGGGAUGUCUAAGAGGGGACGUGGGGAUGUCUAAGAGGGGACGUGGGGACGACGUGGGGAUGUCUAAGAGGGGACGUGGGGAUGUCUAAGAGGGGACGUGGGGAUGUCUAAGAGGGGACAUGGGGAGGACGUGGGGAUGUCUAAGAGGGGACGUGUGGAUGUCUAAGAGGGACGUGGGGAUGUCUAAGAGGGGACGUGGGGAUGGCUAAGAGGGGACGUGGGGAUGGCUAAGAGGGGACGUGGGGACGUCUAAGAGGGGACGUGGGGAUGUCUAAGAGGGGACGUGGGGAUGUCUAAGAGGGGACGUGGGGAGGACGUGGGGAUGUCUAAGAGGGGACGUGGGGAGGACGUGGGGAUGUCUAAGAGGGGUCGUGGGGAAAACGUGGGGAUGUCUAAGAGGGGACGUGGGGAGGACUUGGGGAUGUCUAAGAGGGGACGUGGGGAUUUCUAAGAGGGGACGUGGGGAUGUCUAAGAGGGGACGUGGGGAUCUCUAAGAGGGGACGUGGG